rnacentral:rRNA from 1 species
UACGUAGGGGGCGAGCGUUGUCCGGAAUCACUGGGCGUAAAGGGCGUGUAGGCGGGUUAGCAAGUUGCGGGUAAAAAACCAGGGCUCAACCCUGGGGGUGCCUGCAAAACUGCUGACCUUGAGGGCGGGAGAGGAGGGUGGAAUUCCCGGAGUAGCGGUGAAAUGCGUAGAUACCGGGAGGAACACCAGUGGCGAAGGCGGCUCUCUGGACCGCACCUGACGCUGAGGCGCGAAAGCUAGGGGAGCGAACGGG